UGGAUGACUUUCCCAGAUAGCAAAAGCAAGUCAAAGUGGGCAGCACAGGAAGAAGCUUGUAGGCUGAAAAGGAAGGCAUGUUUCUGCUGUACCACCCAAUGGCGAUGAGGUGUGUGAGCCAUGGACAGGGGAAAAGUUCUUACAGGCAGCACAAGCUCCAUUGAUGUGGCAGACUGGUUGCGGCAGAUGCCUCGGUUGUACUGUUUUACAGAAAUCUUUUCUUCCACCAGAGUCGAGGUCCCCAACAAGUCCAUCUUUGAUGCUGUAAGUGGAGAUGAGUUUUACACGCUGAGAGCUGCGACCAUUGGAACAAAUCUGAUUUGUAAUGGAUUUCAUCCUGGAAAAGUUAUUUUUCCAGGAUUAAUGAAUCUCACAUGUUCAGAGUGCAACUUUUGUCGGAUUUGUGUUUACUGUUGUGGGGGGAGGGGAGCAGUUAAUGUGUGGAUGAUUUUCCCAGAAAGCAAGCACGAAUCGAAGCGCGCAGCACAGGAAGAAGCUUGUAGGCUGAAAAGGAAGGCAUGUUUCUGAUGUACCACCCAAUGGCGAGGAGGUGUGUGAGCCAUGGAAAGGGGAAAAGGUCUUUCAGGCAGCGAGAGCUCCAUUGAUGCGGCAGUCCGGUUGCGGCCGAUUGACGGUUAUGGUGUUUCCAAGAUUUUUUGUUUACGAAUGUGCAGGUCCUGAACAAGUCCACCACAGAUGCUGUAAGUAGAGAUGAGUUUUUCCAGAUGACUGCAACCAUUGGAAGAAAUCUGAUUUUUUUUAAUGGAGCUUACCUUGAAAAAUGAUUUUGUUGUGAAGGAACCUUACAUGUUCAGCACUUAUGUUUUGGAAGCAAGGAUAUUUAUUUUCCAUGAGUUUGCCAAAAAGUUGUUGUGUUUACUGUUGGGAGGGGAGGGGCACAUUAAUGUGUGGAUGACUUUCCCAGAUAGCAAAAGCAAGGCAAAGUGGGCAGCACAGGAAGAAGCUUGUAGGCUGAAAAGGAAGGCAUGUUUCUGAUGUACCACCCAAUUGCGAUGAGGUGUGUGAGCCAUGGAGAGGGGAAAAGUUCUUACAGGCAGGACAAGCUCCAUUGAUGUGGCAGACUGGUUGCGGCAGAUGCCUCGGUUGUACUGUUUUACAGAAAUCUUUUCUUCCACCAGAGUCGAGGUCCCCAACAAGUCCAUCUUUGAUGCUGUAAGUGGAGAUGAGUUUUACACGCUGAGAGCUGCGACCAUUGGAACAAAUCUGAUUUGUAAUGGAUUUCAUCCUGGAAAAGUUAUUUUUCCUUAUUAAUGAAUCUCACAUGUUCAGAGUGCAACUUUUGUCGGAUUUGUGUUUACUGUUGUGGGGGGAGGGGAGCAGUUAAUGUGUGGAUGAUUUUCCCAGAAAGCAAGCACGAAUCAAAGCGCGAAGCACAGGAAGAAGCUUGUAGGCUGAAAAGGAAGGCAUGUUUCUGAUGUACCGACCAAUGGCGAGGAGGUGUGUGAGCCAUGGAGAGGGGAAAAGGUCUUUCAGGCAGCGCAAGCUCCAUUGAUGCAGCAGUCUGGUUGCGGCCGAUUGACGGUUAUGGUGUUUCCAAGAUUUUUUGUUUACGAAUGUGCAGGUCCUGAACAAGUCCACCACAGAUGCUGUAAGUAGAGAUGAGUUUUUCCAGAUGACUGCAACCAUUGGAAGAAAUCUGACUUUUUUUUAAUGGAGCUUACCUUGAAAAAUGAUUUUGUUGUGAAGGAACCUUACAUGUUCAGCACUUAUGUUUUGGAAGCAAGGAUAUUUAUUUUCCAUGAGUUUGCCAAAAAGUUGUUGUGUUUACUGUUGGGAGGGGAGGGGGCAAAUUAAUGUGUGGAUGACUUUCCCAGAUAGCAAAAGCAAGGCAAAGUGGGCAGCACAGGAAGAAGCUUGUAGGCUGAAAAGGAAGGCAUGUUUCUGAUGUACCACCCAAUUGCGAUGAGGUGUGUGAGCCAUGGACAGGGGAAAAGUUCUUCAGGAAGAACAAGCUCCAUUGAUGUGGCCGACUCUUUGCAGCAGAUGCCUCGGUUGUACUGUUUUACAGAAAUCUUUUUUUCCACCAGAGUCGAGGUCCCCAACAAGUCCAUCUUUGAUGCUGUAAGUGGAGAUGAGUUUUACACGCUGAGAGCUGCGACCAUUGGAACAAAUCUGAUUUGUAAUGGAUUUCAUCCCGGAAAUGUUAUUUUUCCUUAUUAAUGAAUCUCACAUGUUCAGAGUGCAACUUUUGUCGGAUUUAUGUUUACUGUUGUGGGGGGAGGGGAGCAGUUAAUGUGUGGAUGAUUUUCCCAGAAAGCAAGCACGAAUCAAAGCGCGCAGCACAGGAAGAAGCUUGUAGGCUGAAAAGGAAGGCAUGUUUCUGAUGUACCACCCAAUGGCGAGGAGGUGUGUGAGCCAUGGAAAGGGGAAAAGGUCUUUCAGGCAGCGCAAGCUCCAUUGAUGCUACAGUCCGGUUGCGGCCGAUUCAGGGUUAUGGUGUUUCCAAGAUUUUUUGUUUACGAAUGUGCAGGUCCUGAACAAGUCCACCACAGAUGCUGUAAGUAGAGAUGAGUUUUUCCAGAUGACUGCAACCAUUGGAAGAAAUCUGACUUUUUUUUAAUGGAGCUUACCUUGAAAAAUGAUUUUGUUGUGAAGGAACCUUACAUGUUCAGCACUUAUGUUUUGGAAGCAAGGAUAUUUAUUUUCCAUGAGUUUGCCAAAAAGUUGUUGUGUUUACUGUUGGGAGGGGAGGGGGCACAUUAAUGUGUGGAUGACUUUCCCAGAUAGCAAAAGCAAGGCAAAGUGGGCAGCACAGGAAGAAGCUUGUAGGCUGAAAAGGAAGGCAUGUUUCUGAUGUACCACCCAAUGACGAUGAGGUGUGUGAGCCAUGGAGAGGGGAAAAGUUCUUACAGGCAGGACAAGCUCCAUUGAUGUGGCAGACUGGUUGCGGCAGAUGCCUCGGUUGUACUGUUUUACAGAAAUCUUUUUUUCCACCAGAGUCGAGGUCCCCAACAAGUCCAUCUUUGAUGCUGUAAGUGGAGAUGAGUUUUACACGCUGAGAGCUGCGACAAUUGGAACAAAUCUGAUUUGUAAUGGAUUUCAUCCUGGAAAAGUUAUUUUUCCUUAUUAAUGAAUCUCACAUGUUCAGAGUGCAACUUUUGUCGGAUAUGUGUUUACUGUUGUGGGGGGAGGGGAGCAGUUAAUGUGUGGAUGAUUUUCCCAGAAAGCAAGCACGAAUCAAAGCGCGCAGCACAGGAAGAAGCUUGUAGGCUGAAAAGGAAGGCAUGUUUCUGAUGUACCACCCAAUGGCGAGGAGGUGUGUGAGCCAUGGAAAGGGGAAAAGGUCUUACAGGCAGCACAAGCUCCAUUGAUGUGGCAGACUGGUUGCGGCAGAUGCCUCGGUUGUACUGUUUUACAGAAAUCUUUUCUUCCACCAGAGUCGAGGUCCCCAACAAGUCCAUCUUUGAUGCUGUAAGUGGAGAUGAGUUUUACACGCUGAGAGCUGCGACCAUUGGAACAAAUCUGAUUUGUAAUGGAUUUCAUCCUGGAAAAGUUAUUUUUCCUUAUUAAUGAAUCUCACAUGUUCAGAGUGCAACUUUUGUCGGAUUUUUUAUGUUUACUGUUGUGGGAGGAGGGGAGCAGUUAAUGUGUGGAUGAUUUUCCCAGAAAGCAAGCAAGAAUCAAAGCGCGCAGCACAGGAAGAAGCUUGUAGGCUGAAAAGGAAGGCAUGUUUCUGAUGUACCGACCAAUGGCGAGGAGGUGUGUGAGCCAUGGAGAGGGGAAAAGGUCUUUCAGGCAGCGCAAGCUCCAUUGAUGCAGCAGUCUGGUUGCGGCCGAUUGAGGGUUAUGGUGUUUCCAAGAUUUUUUGUUUACGAAUGUGCAGGUCCCGAACAAGUCCACCACAGAUGCUGUAAGUAGAGAUGAGUUUUUCCAGAUGACUGCAACCAUUGGAAGAAAUCUGAUUUUUUUUUAAUGGAGCUUACCUUGGAAAAUGAUUUUGUUGUGAAGGAACCUUACAUGUUCAGCACUUAUGUUUUGGAAGCAAGGAUAUUUAUUUUCCAUGAGUUUGCCAAAAAGUUGUUGUGUUUACUGUUGGGAGGGGAGGGGGCACAUUAAUGUGUGGAUGACUUUCCCAGAUAGCAAAAGCAAGGCAAAGUGGGCAGCACAGGAAGAAGCUUGUAGGCUGAAAAGGAAGGCAUGUUUCUGAUGUACCACCCAAUGGCGAUGAGGUGUGUGAGCCAUGGACAGGGGAAAAGUUCUUACAGGCAGCACAAGCUCCAUUGAUGUGGCAGACUCUUUGCGGCAGAUGCCUCGGUUGUACUGUUUUACAGAAAUCUUUUCUUCCACCAGAGUCGAGGUCCCCAACAAGUCCAUCUUUGAUGCUGUAAGUUGACAUGAAUUUUACACGCUGAGAGCUGCGACCAUUGGAACAAAUCUGAUUUGUAAUGGAUUUCAUCCUGGAAAAGUUAUUUUUCCUUAUUAAUGAAUCUCACAUGUUCAGAGUGCAACUUUUGUCAGAUUUGUGUUUACUGUUGUGGGGGGGGGGGAGCAGUUAAUGUGUGGAUGAUUUUCCCAGAAAGCAAGCACGAAUCAAAGCGCGCAGCACAGGAAGAAGCUUGUAGGCUGAAAAGGAAGGCAUGUUUCUGAUGUACCACCCAAUGGCGAGGAGGUGUUGGAAGCCAUGGAGAGGGAAAAAGGUCUUUCAGGCAGCGCUAGCUCCAUUGAUGCGGCAGUCCGGUUGCGGCCGAUUGAGGGUUAUGGUGUUUCCAAGAUUUUUUGUUUACGAAUGUGCAGGUCCUGAACAAGUCCACCACAGAUGCUGUAAGUAGAGAUGAGUUUUUCCAGAUGACAUCAACCAUUGGAAGAAAUCUGAUUUUUUUUUAAUGGAGCUUAUCUUGAAAAAUGAUUUUGUUAUGAAGGAACCUUACAUGUUCAGCACUUAUGUUUUGGAAGCAACGAUAUUUAUUUUCCAUCAGUUUGCCGAAAAGAUGUUGUGUUUACUGUUGGGAGGGGAGGGGGCACAUUAAUGUGUGGAUGACUUUCCUAGAUAGCAAAAGCAAGGCAAAGUGGGCAGCACAGGAAGAAGCUUGUAGGCUGAAAAGGAAGGCAUGUUUCUGAUGUACCACUCAAUGGCGACGAGGUGUGUGAGCCAUGGAGAGGGGAAAAGUUCUUACAGGCAGCACAAGCUCCAUUGAUGUGGCAGACUGGUUGCGGCAGAAGCCUCGGUUGUACUGUUUUACAGAAAUCUUUUCUUCCACCAGAGUCGAGGUCCCCAGUAGUGAAAAGACUACAGGAAGCAGCUUUUAGACUUAAAAGGAAGAGAGUUUUCCAAUGUAUCACGUCAUGCUGGUGAGGUUACUGAUGGGGAGACCAAAAGUUUUCCAGGCAGCACAAGCUUCAUUUGUGUUGAAAGUUGUUUUCAACAGAUUCUAUGGUUGUACUAUUUUAGGACAAUUUUGUCUUUGAAAAUGAAGAUUCUUAACAUAUUGAUCAUAGAUUCUGUGAGGGGACAUGAAUUUUGCAGACACAUGGAGCAAUUGAAAUGCGUCUGAUUUUAAAUGACUUUGUUCAUUUCAGUGUUAUAGAAGUGAUUGAAUACUAGAGGAAAUUUUUAUUGUGAUAUUUUUUUAUUAAUUUUGCUGUAAUGAUAUGUUGUCUGUCAUUAUUUUAAUUAAAGCAUAUUGCGGGGACUCAUGUGUUGGGGAGGAAUGUGUAAGUGGCUUUCCCAGAGAGUGAACCUAGAAAUAGUCAAUAGUAUAGAAAGAAGAAUAUAGGAAGAGGAAUGUCAGUAGGACUGAAGAGUUGUAUAAUUUUUAUUUUCACAUUGUUUUUUAAUGUUGAGUGGGAGAUAAAAGUUUUUGUCAGUGAUAGUGGUGAUACAGAACCAUAUUUGAAAAAAAAAAGAAAUUUUCUAACAUUCAGUUCUUUUGGACGAUUUAAAAGUGUUUUUUUCUGUUUCUUCAGAGACACCAAAAAGAAAAAUAGAACAUGAUGUUUUAGAGGAAGUUGUAUUAUCCUGAUUACAUGCUUCCUUUGUUGUGAGUUUGGUUUUAAUAGUAAUGACUAUCAUGAAAUUAAUUCAUUGUUUUUUGUGAAUGGGAUAAAGAGUGCCCACAAGAUAUUGUAAUGCAUGUUAUGAUGGCAUAAUACCUGCAACUAUUUUGCAUAAAGAGAUAAAUUUCUGGUAUCUUGUGUAUGCAUUGUUCUUUUUAACUAGCUUUUGUGAAACUGAUGUAAACAAUAGCCUGUGUUAUUCAAAGGUAAAGAAGGACUGAAGAACCAGAACAGCACUUAGACACGAGUUGUUACAUCCUUCUUCUUAGCAACAAGUUGAAAUCAAAUUUUGACAUGCUUAAAGGCCUUUGAUUUAAUACCAACAUGCAAUUAUCAAAGAAAUGAGACAAUUGAUUUUAUACAUUUAAACCAAAUGCAUAUGAAGAAUUUACUUCAUUACCUUUUUCCUUCAUUUGCAUAUAAAGACCAGUCUCCCUAUCUUUCCCUCUCUAGUAUACAGACUUCCCUUCCUCGACCCAUACCACAACAGAUGCACACAGACUUUUGCAGCAGGAAUGACCCUGAUCAAUAAUCUGAAUUACUUGACAAUAGUCCCGUUGAAGUUGUGUGCAGCCAUGAGAACUGUCGCUACUGAUUAUUUCCAAUCAUCGUUGUAGUCUGUACUCUCAGCAAAUAAAAAUGUUUUGAAAAGCAA